GUCUACGGCCUUGCCACCCUGAACAUGCCCGAUCUCGUCUGAUCUUGGAAGCUAAGCAGGGUUGGGCCUGAUUAGUACUUGGAUGGGAGACCACCAAGGAAUACCAAGUGCUGUAAGCA
rnacentral:rRNA from 1 species